GUAGAAAUGAAUACUUUGCAUUGGCAUGGAUUUUCAUUUAUUGAUACAAAUUUAAGGUCAAUUUUGCUAUAUGUAUAUUUCUCUUGUUUAGGUAUGUUUAUACAGAUCUUUUAAAAUGUAAAGUAUAAUUAAAUAAGAUGAUAGCCACCUAUCAAAACUAAUAGUUAGGUUAGUUAUGUUUCCUAGAUAUACAGAGAUAUAUUUGAGAUGGAUAGUCUUCAAACCUUUCAAAGACCUACAGCAUAUGGCAUUUAAAAUGGUUUAGGGUUUUUCUUGACAGUGAGACACAACUGCUUCUGGCAACACCAAUUACUUCAGAGAGGAAGAUGGGCAUUGAAGACAUAUGUUAUAGAGUUUGCCUUCGACAUCAUGGCAAGACUAGCCAUUUGGGCAAGAAACUGUUCUUGCCUGGACUGUUUGACUGUAUGCUGUAUAAGGUGGACAUGCAGGACCAAAGGAAAGUGACUGCUGAAUUUGCCAAAACAACAUGGGUUCAAGCUUCAUGGAAGAGUCGGCCAGACAUUCUGCAGGACCCAGAGAAAAAUGACUGACAAACUGCCAAUACAGGUGAACAGUUUCAAAUUUCCUGCUUUGAUGAGAAGUCUGCCAGACACACUAUAGCCUAUGGCCAAAGAUGGAUGCUCCAACGUUAGAGGAACUUUGGAUGACUGUCCAGGCAUCAAGAUGUCUCUGUCAAUUCUAGAGUUUAUAUAUUAUCCUUCUGUGGUCUUUGAUGGAGUUGAAGAUAGAUAGUUAUGUUUUUUAUUAGUUAUGAUAAGAGAUAAGUUACAUAUAAAACUUUAGACUCACAAAGAUAGGAUAGAUGAUAGAAUAUUUUCUUUAAAUCUUGCUAAAUGUUAAUGGACUAAAUAUUGUAACUAUAGUUCUUACUUGAUAACUGCUUUGUUAUAUAUAAUUUUACUAUGUUAAAGUUAAAACCCUUAUUUUUAUUUAGGCAGAAAAGAGGAGAUGAUGGGGAUGUCUUCUGUACAUAUGUUUCUCUUAUUGGUUAAUGAAUAAAGCACUGUUUGGCUAGUGGCCAAACAGGAAGGAUGGGCAGGGCUACCAGAGGAGAAUUCUGGGAAGUGUAGGCGAUGGGGUGGGGGUGGGGACCGUCAUGUGAGCCUGGGAAGAAGUCAGGCAUUCUCAGACAUUUUUCAACUGAAGAUGCACAAAUGAUCAAUGAGUAUAUGAAAACAUGUUCAACAUCUGUAGCCAUCAAGGAAGUGUCAACAAAUCAAAACUAUUGAGAUUCUCUCUCAUCUUAGUCAGAAUAGCUAUCAUGAUUGAUGGUAAUGGAAAUCAGUAUGGAGUGACCCACCCUCCAGAAAAAAUUGAAACUAGGGACAGAAGAGUGGUUCAGAGCACUGGCUGCUCUUCCAGGGGACCCAGCUUCAAUUUCCAGCCUUCACACGAUGGCUCACAACCACCUAUAAGUCCCUGGGAAUCUGGCACCCUCUUAUGGCCUCCAAAGAAAUCAGGUAUGCAUGGAAUGCGCUGACAUAUGACAUACAUGCAAACCAUGUUUAAGAUUGAAAAUAGAAGUACUACUCGGGCCGGACAGUGGUAGUGCAAGUCUUUAAUCCCAGCACUCGGGAGGUAGGGGCAGGCAGAUCUCUGUGAGUUUGA
rnacentral:lncRNA from 1 species